UAGAGCUCAGAAAGGGAAGAGUGGAGUUGUCGAGAAAGUGUUCAUCUCCUUAGAAAACACAGAGUUGUUGUUAUGAUGAGUCUCCAAUGAACCUGCUGCAUCCCUGCUGCAUAUCUAUUAUCUGGGGUAAUCUUCCUAAAAAGCAGAGUGUCAAGCAGCAUGCCUGGUUAUUCCAACUUAUGCAGAAAUAGAAGUGUCCUAAGCUUGGGGCAAGAUGGCCGACUAGACACAGCAAGUGGAAUUACCGCCAGCAAGGGACUGAGACAACUGGCGCACUCCUAACAAAUCAUCCGAUGGAAGGCACCAGGAGUGGCCGAGGGAAGACACAGAAGGAAGCUGGGCUGAAACAGGAGGAACAUUGCACUGGGCUACCAUGCGCUGGGACUUGUUCCUGGCCCCCAAGGACUCUCAGGGAAUGGGUGAGUUGAACUUGCAAGGAGCAACCUGUUCUAACCACGGACCUCU
rnacentral:lncRNA from 10 species